rnacentral:rRNA from 1 species
UACAGAGGGUGCGAGCGUUAAUCGGAAUUACUGGGCGUAAAGCGUGCGUAGACGGUUAUCUAAGUCGGAUGUGAAAGCCCCGGGCUCAACCUGGGAAUUGCAUUCGAGACUGAAUAGCUAGGGUACGGUAGAGGGAAGUGGAAUUUCCGGUGUAGCGGUGAAAUGCGUAGAUAUCGGAAGGAACACCGAUGGCGAAGGCAGGUCUCUGGGACGGUACUGACGCUGAGACGCGAAAGCGUGGGGAGCAAACAGG